AGAGUUUGAUCAUGGCUCAGGAUGAACGCUAGCGGCAGGCUUAAUACAUGCAAGUCGAACGGGAUUCAGGUAGCAAUACUUGAUGAGAGUGGCGCACGGGUGCGUAACACGUAUGCAACCUACCUUUAACUGGUGAAUAGCCCCGGGAAAUCGGGAUUAAUACACCAUAACAUUACAAGAGGGCAUCCUCUAAUAAUUAAAGAACUUCGGUUAAAGAUGGGCAUGCGGGACAUUAGCUAGUUGGUGAGGUAACGGCUCACCAAGGCAACGAUGUCUAGGGGUCCUGAGAGGGUUAUCCCCCACACUGGUACUGAGACACGGACCAGACUCCUACGGGAGGCAGCAGUAAGGAAUAUUGGUCAAUGGGCGCAAGCCUGAACCAGCCAUGCCGCCGUGAAGGAAGACGGCGCUAUGCGUUGUAAACUUCUUUUGUCAGGGAAUAAAUGUAGGUACGUGUACUUACUUGAAGGUACCUGAAGAAUAAGCAUCGGCUAACUCCGUGCCAGCCGCCGC
rnacentral:rRNA from 1 species